rnacentral:lncRNA from 1 species
UCUUAGGAGUUCAAGUUCAUAAUUUCUUCAUUUUGUUUUCUCUCCGGUGGAGUCAAUUCAAGAUUUUGGUGUGAUCAUAUCUUUUCCAUUUGUUGAAUGCUUCAGUGUUGGAAAAUUCUCUUCAAACCUAUAUUGUUUAUUCAUUCCUCUCUUUUCUAUCAGGAGUGUUCAAGAUAGCUCAAAAUUUCUUGUUCUCAAUCCUUUCAAUUAUUUCGAGGUUCUUAACCUCAUCAAGCUUUCCUUGUACCGGUGCAAUCUCUCUCUUUCUGAGCAAUCUUUUCAACGAUGUGUUCUUUUGAGUGGGCCCAUAACCCCCAGGUUUUCCCAGGAUCUUAUCUGGCUCUUCUAAUCUUUUUUCCGAAGAUCUCUAAUCCUUUUCAAUUAUGAUGUAAGUAUGCAUUCUAUCAGUCAUAUUCCUUCUCCAAGACUGCUACGAAAUCAAUUCUCAUCUUUGACUCAACCUUUCACUCUUCAUUAUUCCGGAGUGUCUUAGUUAUUCUUGGUGGUGUUCUCCUCAUCAUUUUCAGCUUGGAAGACCGAAGGAUUGUCUCUCUCAAUUCUUGUCCAUUAUUUUGAAGAUGUCAUC